rnacentral:lncRNA from 13 species
GUCCUCAGAGAUAACAUCCUGUACUUAAAAUCUUUAAGUUGUUAUUGAGGGCGGGGAGAGAGAGAGAGAGAGAGAGAGAGAGAGAGAGAGAGAGUGUGUGUGUGUGUGUAGAGGAAGAGGAGAAGGGGGAGAUAAACAGCGGCAGAAAGAAAACACAUGCACGCAGUUAUGCUUCUUUAUACUCACCUUAUCCUUCCCUAUUCUGUAUUACUAAGACAUCCACUGGACCCAUUGCCUCUGGCUUCUGGUUGGAUUCAGCCACUGGAGAGCUUCAACAAAUGCAGAAAGAAGGAAGCUACAUCUGUGGAAAACUAAGACUCCGCCUGUGUCCCGGAGGUGCCACUCCUCUCAAGGCAUCACUCUCCAUAGGAUCUUCCCAUUUUGGGUUCCAGUAACCUCUUAUUCCUCUCAUCCCUUCAGGCCUAGGGAUGGUAAUGAUUUGGCCAUUUCAAACUCUAGGGUAAUGGAGCUUCCCUUACACCCUCAAUAACUUUGUAGUUUAUUAGGCUUUCUUGAGUUACCCUAAUUUGCACAUGGCAUCUGUUUCCUGUUAGGACACUGACUGAUAUAUAACUCUAGAGAUCCUCAAACUUUAGGGUGUAUUAAAGUCACCUGACUUGCUAAAGCAGAGAUUGCUGAAUAACACCUCUGUAGUUUCUGAUUGAAUAGGUCUGGAUUGGGACCUCAGAAUUUAUGCCUGUAACAAUUUUCCAGUUGAUUCUUAAAGAUUACACUUUAUGAAUCACUCUGCUACUACUCUAUUGUGUCUCAAGCUUAAUGGGACUUAGCCACCAUUGGUCUAGGAGGAGGAACAGUAGCUAUUACAGUCCUGAGUUCCUUUGAGGAAAAACUACUUGGUGAGUGUGAGAAUAUGCCAGAAGUCCUAGAACUUUAAGAUCAUGGGAGAAGAUUAUAAAACAUCUUAGCUGUUAGCAGGAUCACUCUCUCUGGUUUCAGUGAGUAGAAGAACAUAAAAAGGCUAUUUCUUUGAUUUAGCUUUUUUCUUCCUUAAAAUACAUGAAAUCUAGUUUAGUUGGAAAAUUUUUAUAUACAAAUUUUUCUUUGGAAGCAUAAACAGUAGCAUGUUAAAUUACAUAGCUUGAGAAAUAUUACUAAUUUUCUUCUCUAAAUGGCUAGUAGAAAAAGGAGGAUGUAAAGAGAAAAAUGUCUAGGCUUUUAAAAGGUUAUCUAGAUCUCUUUAAUCGAUUGUAAACUAGUGGGAGGGAGUCAAUAUUCCAAUAUUAAUUGAGCACCUACU